rnacentral:sRNA from 12 species
GUCAGCUUCUCGGACCUGAGGGACGUGAACGUUCGGCCCUGAGGGUGGUUGACCAGCCCGAGAACCUCUGAAGGGAGGGAUCUACGUUGUACACAGGUCAGACGACCCACUCCGGGGUGCUUCCUCAGCCCCGGACCCUGGA